CCUACGGGAGGCAGCAGUGAGGAAUAUUGGACAAUGGGCGCAAGCCUGAUCCAGCGACGCCGCGUGAGUGAUGAAGGCCUUUGGGUCGUAAAGCUCUGUCAGCAGGGAAGAACGGCCGUGCGGCUAAUACCCAUACGGAUUGACGGUACCUGCAGAGGAAGCACCGGCUAACUU
rnacentral:rRNA from 1 species